CCGCAUAAGAUUACAGUACCGCAUGAUACAGUGAUCAAAGGAGCAAUCCGCUGAAAGAUGGGCUCGCGUCCGAUUAGAUAGUUGGUGAGGUAACGGCUCACCAAGUCGACGAUCGGUAGCCGGACUGAGAGGUUGAACGGCCACAUUGGGACUGAGACACGGCCCAGACUCCUACGGGAGGCAGCAGUGGGGAAUAUUGCACAAUGGGCGAAAGCCUGAUGCAGCAACGCCACGUGAGGGAAGACGGUUUUCGGAUUGUAAACCUCUGUUUUCGGUGACGAAUAAAUGACGGUAACCGAGUAGGAAGCCACGGCUAACUACGUGCCAGCAGCCGCGGUAAUACGUAGGUGGCAAGCGUUAUCCGGAAUUACUGGGUGUAAAGGGAGCGCAGGCGGGAUAGCAAGUCAGUUGUGAAAACUAUGGGCUCAACCCAUAGAUUGCAGUUGAAACUGUUAUUCUUGAGUGGAGUAGAGGCAAGCGGAAUUCCGAGUGUAGCGGUGAAAUGCGUAGAUAUUCGGAGGAACACCAGUGGCGAAGGCGGCUUGCUGGGCUCUAACUGACGCUGAGGCUCGAAAGUGUGGGGAGCAAACAGGAUUAGAUACCCUGGUAGUCCACACUGU
rnacentral:rRNA from 1 species